rnacentral:rRNA from 1 species
CUUGGGGCCGGAAGACCUGAGGGGUACGUCCGGGGUAGGAGUGAAAUCCUGUAAUCCUGGACGGACCGCCGGUGGCGAAAGCGCCUCAGGAAGACGGACCCGACGGUAAGGGACGAAAGCUAGGGUCUCGAACCGGAUUAGAUACCCGGGUAGUCCUAGCUGUAAACGAUGCUCGCUAGGUGUGCCGCAGGCUACGAGCCUGCGCUGUGCCGUAGGGAAGCCGUGAAGCGAGCCGCCUGGGAAGUACGUCUGCAAGGAUGAAACUUAAAGGAAUUGGCGGGGGAGCACUACAACCGGAGGAGCCUGCGGUUUAAUUAGACUCAACGCCGGACAUCUCACCAGCACCGACAAUGUGCAGUGAAGGUCAGGUUGAUGACCUUACUGGAGCCAUUGAGAGGAGGUGCAUGGCCGCCGUCAGUUCGUACCGUGAGGCGUCCUGUUAAGUCAGGCAACGAGCGAGACCCGCACUCUUAGUUGCCAGCAGCAUCUUGCGAUGGCUGGGUACACUAGGAGGACUGCCGCUGCCAAAGCGGAGGAAGGAACGGGCAACGGUAGGUCAGUAUGCCCCGAAUGUGCUGGGCUACACGCGGGCUACAAUGGCCGGGACAGUGGGACGCCAGUCCGAGAGGACGCGCUAAUCCCCGAAACCCGGUCGUAGUUCGGAUUGAGGGCUGAAACCCGCCCUCAUGAAGCUGGAUUCGGUAGUAAUCGCGUGUCAGAAGCGCGCGGUG